UACGUAGGGGCCUAGCGUUGUCCGGAUUUAUUGGGCGUAAAGCGCUCGUAGGCGGCUUGGUAAGUCAGGUGUGAAAUCUCCACGCUCAACGUGGAGGGGCCACCCGAAACUGCCAUGGCUUGAGUCCGGUAGGGGAGUGUGGAAUUCCCGGUGUAGCGGUGAAAUGCGCAGAUAUCGGGAGGAACACCCGUAGCGAAGGCGGCACUCUGGGCCGGUACUGACGCUGAGGAGCGAAAGCGUGGGGAGCAAACAGG
rnacentral:rRNA from 1 species